GGCUUGAAGAGUUUAUCGAAUGAUGGCUUGCAAGGCCAUCGGAGCAGCGUCCCUGCUCAAGCCU
rnacentral:tRNA from 1 species